rnacentral:rRNA from 1 species
UACGAAGGUGGCAAGCGUUGUUCGGAUUUACUGGGCGUACAGGGAGCGUAGGCGGUUGGAUAAGCCCUCCGUGAAAUCUCCAGGCUUAACCUGGAAAGUGCAGAGGGGACUGUUCAGCUAGAGGAUGGGUGAGGAGCGCGGAAUUCCCGGUGUAGCGGUGAAAUGCGUAGAGAUCGGGAGGAAGGCCGGUGGCGAAGGCGGCGCUCUGGAACAUUUCUGACGCUGAGGCUCGAAAGCGUGGGGAGCAAACAGG